GGGCUCGUAGCUCAGUCUGGAUAGAGCGACUGCCUCCUAAGCAGUAGGUCGGGGGUUCGAAUCCCCUCGAGCCCG
rnacentral:tRNA from 1 species